UACACUCCUGCGGGAGGCAGCAGUGGGGAAUAUUGGACAAUGGGCGCAAGCCUGAUCCAGCCAUGCCGCGUGAGUGAUGAAGGCCCUAGGGUUGUAAAGCUCUUUCACCGGUGAAGAUAAUGACGGUAACCGGAGAAGAAGCCCCGGCUAACUUCGUGCCAGCAGCCGCGGUAAUACGAAGGGGGCUAGCGUUGUUCGGAUUUACUGGGCGUAAAGCGCACGUAGGCGGACUAUUAAGUCAGGGGUGAAAUCCCGGGGCUCAACCCCGGAACUGCCUUUGAUACUGGUAGUCUUGAGUUCGAGAGAGGUGAGUGGAAUUCCGAGUGUAGAGGUGAAAUUCGUAGAUAUUCGGAGGAACACCAGUGGCGAAGGCGGCUCACUGGCUCGAUACUGACGCUGAGGUGCGAAAGCGUGGGGAGCAAACAGGAUUAGAUACCCCUGUAGUCCCAUGA
rnacentral:rRNA from 1 species